rnacentral:rRNA from 1 species
UACGUAGGGUGCAAGCGUUGUCCGGAAUCACUGGGCGUAAAGGGCGCGUAGGCGGCCAUUCAAGUCGGGGGUGAAAGCCUGUGGCUCAACCACAGAAUUGCCUUCGAUACUGUUUGGCUUGAGUAUGGUAGAGGUUGGUGGAACUGCGAGUGUAGAGGUGAAAUUCGUAGAUAUUCGCAAGAACACCGGUGGCGAAGGCGGCCAGCUGGACCAUUACUGACGCUGAGGCGCGAAAGCGUGGGGAGCAAACAGG